CGUGCCUACGGGGGGCAGCAGUAGGGAAUUUUCGUCAAUGGGCGCAAGCCUGAACGAGCGAUGCCGCGUGAGUGAAGAAGGCCUUCGGGUCGUAAAGCUCUGUUGCGGGGAAAAAAGGCAGCAUCAGGAAAUGGGUGCUGACUGAUGGUGCCCCGCCAGAAAGUCACGGCUAACUACGUGCCAGCAGCCGCGGUAAUACGUAGGUGGCGAGCGUUAUCCGGAAUGAUUGGGCGUAAAGGGUGCGCAGGCGGUCCUGCAAGGCUGGAGUGAAAAGAAGGAGCUAAAC
rnacentral:rRNA from 1 species